rnacentral:rRNA from 1 species
GAUGAACGCUGGCGGCGUGCCUAAUACAUGCAAGUCGAGCGAACGGACGAGAAGCUUGCUUCUCUCAUGUUAGCGGCGGACGGGUGAGUAACACGUGGAUAACCUACCUAUAAGACUGGGAUAACUUCGGGAAACCGGAGCUAAUACCGGAUAAUAUUUUGAACCGCAUGGUUCAAAAGUGAAAGACGGUCUUGCUGUCACUUAUAGAUGGAUCCGCGCUGCAUUAGCUAGUUGGUAAGUUAACGGCUUACCAAGGCAACGAUGCAUAGCCGACGUGAGAGGGUGGUCGGCCACACUGGAACUGAGACACGGUCCAGACUCCUGCGGGAGGGAGCAGUAGGGAACGGGACGCAGUAGGCGAAAGCAUGACGGAGCAGCGCGGCGUGAGUGAUGAAGGUGUUCGGAGCGUAAAACUCUGUUAUUGGGGAUGAACAUAUGUGUAAGUAACUGAGGACAGCGUGACGGUAACUGAUCAGAAAGCCACGGCUAACUACGUG